rnacentral:rRNA from 1 species
UACGUAGGGCGCAAGCGUUAUCCGGAAUUAUUGGGCGUAAAGAGCUCGUAGGCGGUUUGUCGCGUCGGCCGUGAAAUCUCCACGCUUAACGUGGAGCGUGCGGUCGAUACGGGCAGACUUGAGUUCGGUAGGGGAGACUGGAAUUCCUGGUGUAGCGGUGAAAUGCGCAGAUAUCAGGAGGAACACCGGUGGCGAAGGCGGGUCUCUGGGCCGAUGACUGACGCUGAGGAGCGAAAGCGUGGGGAGCGAACAGG